UCUAAAACUUGAGAUAUAGGCUGAACACUGAAUAGUGUCUAGGCUGCAGGACAAAUUCGAACUUCUUCGUUGUUGCUACAAUUUGGACUCCUCAUGAAAGUUUUAGGCCUAUGUCUUAGCUUUCCAUC
rfam:Populus trichocarpa scaffold_3_contig_16, whole genome shotgun sequence.